rnacentral:rRNA from 1 species
AAUCGGGAUAACAACCUGGAAACAGAUGCUAAUACCGGAUAACAACAGAUGAUGCCUAUCAACUGUUUAAAAGAUGGUUCUGCUAUCACUCUUGGAUGGACCUGCGGUGCAUUAGCUAGUUGGUAGGGUAACGGCCUACCAAGGCGAUGAUGCAUAGCCGAGUUGAGAGACUGAUCGGCCACAUUGGGACUGAGACACGGCCCAAACUCCUACGGGAGGCAGCAGUU